rnacentral:lncRNA from 1 species
AGGAGGUGUGUUUUCUACCAACUUGUAAAAUAGGGUUGGUUUCUUCUUCCCACCUCUUUCGAUGGUUUACUUCCCCUUCAGGUAACUCGUCGCCCGGCGAGUCAGACGUUGUCGGUGCUUGAGGCGUCAGAUCCUUUACUCUCCGGCGAUGUGAUGAUGGCCGCCGGCCAUCUUACUCGUCCUAUUCGUUCAACGGUUACAAGGCGCGCUGGUGUCUCCGAUGUGCUGCUCAUGGUGCCGCUGAAAGCUUCGUUUCCUUUGUCGGAAAGGUGGUCAGCUUCAUUGUGAUAGCUCCCAUCGUCGGCGACGAGGUUGAUCGAAAGAAUCUUACAAGGAUCUGGAUGUAAUUUGUUUCUUUUUCAGAAUUGUCUUUGUAAGAUGGGAUGUAAACUAUCAGCUUUUAUGUGAAUGAUAAAACCGGCUUCUAGAAAAAAACAAGAUCUCUUUCUUUUCAACGAUGGAGAGGAGAAAAAUCUCUACACGCCGGUGCAGCAGCGGGAGCUAGAAAAAGGUUGAUUUCACAGUCAGUCCC